rnacentral:rRNA from 1 species
AGCGAACGCUGGCGGCAGGCUUAACACAUGCAAGUCGAACGCCCCGCAAGGGGAGUGGCAGACGGGUGAGUAACGCGUGGGAACGUGCCCUUCGCUUCAGGAUAGCCCCGGGAAACUGGGAGUAAUACUGGAUACGCCGUAUUGGGAAAGAUUUAUCGGCGAAGGAUCGGCCCGCGUUAGAUUAGGUAGUCGGCGGUGUAAUGGACCACCAAGCCUACGAUCUAUAGCUGGUCUGAGAGGAUGAUCAGCCACACUGGGACUGAGACACGGCCCAGACUCCUACGGGAGGCAGCAGUGGGGAAUCUUGGACAAUGGGCGCAAGCCUGAUCCAGCCAUGCCGCGUGAGUGAAGAAGGCCUUAGGGUUGUAAAACUCUUUCGCCGGAGAAGAUAAUGGCGGUAUCCGGAGAAGAAGCCCCGGCUAACUUCGUGCCAGCAGCCGCCGCAGUAA